rnacentral:rRNA from 1 species
AUUGAACGCUGGCGGCAGGCCUAACACAUGCAAGUCGAGCGGAUGAAGGGAGCUUGCUCCUGGAUUCAGCGGCGGACGGGUGAGUAAUGCCUAGGAAUCUGCCUGGUAGUGGGGGAUAACGUCCGGAAACGGGCGCUAAUACCGCAUACGUCCUGAGGGAGAAAGUGGGGGAUCUUCGGACCUCACGCUAUCAGAUGAACCUAGGUCGGAUUAGCUAGUUGGUGGGGUAAAGGCCUACCAAGGCGACGAUCCGUAACUGGUCUGAGAGGAUGAUCAGUCACACUGGAACUGAGACACGGUCCAGACUCCUACGGGAGGCAGCAGUGGGGAAUAUUGGACAAAGGGCGAAAGCCUGAUCCAGCCAUGCCGCGUGUGUGAAGAAGGUCUUCGGAUUGUAAAGCACUUUAAGUUGGGAGGAAGGGCAGUAAGUUAAUACCUUGCUGUUUUGACGUUACCAACAGAAUAAGCACCGGCUAACUUCGUG